rnacentral:rRNA from 1 species
GAAAGUAAGAAAGGGCGCAUGGCGGAUGCCUUGGCUCACGGAGGCGAUGAAGGACGUGAUAAGCUGCGAUAAGCCUUGGGUAGGUGCAAAUAACCUUUGAUCCAAGGAUUUCCGAAUGGGACAACCCAACAGGUUGAAGACCUGUUAUCACUACAAAAGUAGUGAGGCGAACGAAGGGAACUGAAACAUCUUAGUACCUUUAGGAAGAGAAAAUAAAUAAUGAUUCCCCUAGUAGUGGCGAGCGAACGGGGAAUAGCCCAAACCUGCUUUGUGGCAACGCUUAGCAGGGGUUGUAGGACCACGUUGUCGUACUUAGAUUGUGAGAAGAAUGUUCUGGAAAGAACAAUCAUAGAGGGUGAUAAUCCCGUAUUCGAAGCAUGACGAGACGUAGUGGUAUCCUGAGUAACGCGGAACACGUGAAAUUCUGCGCGAAUCUGCCGGGACCAUCCGGUAAGGCUAAAUACUCCCGUGAGACCGAUAGUGAACGAGUACUGUGAAGGAAAGGUGAAAAGCACUCCGAUGAGGAGAGUGAAAUAGUUCCUGAAACCAUGCGCCUACAAGCGGUCGGAGCCGCGUAAGCGGUGACGGCGUGCCUUUUGCAUAAUGAACCUACGAGUUACCAUGUCUGGCAAGGAUAAGCGUCAUGAGACGCGCAUCCGCAGUGAAAGCGAGCCUGAACAGGGCGUCAAGUCAGAUGGGGUAGACGCGAAACCAAGUGAUCUACACUUGCCCAGGUUGAAGUCCGGGUAACACCGGAUGGAGGACCGCACGGAUAAGCGUUGAAAAGCUUCCCGAUGAGGUGAGUGUAGGAGUGAAAGGCCAAUCAAACUUGGAGAUAGCUCGUACUCCCCGAAAGGCAUUUAGGUGCCGCGUGCGACGAUUUCCAUAAGAGGUAGAGCGACCGAUAGGUCAAGAGGGCUUCACCGCCUAUCGAGACCUGACGAACUCCGAAUGCUUAUGGACCGCAGUCGUGCAGUAAGGGGGCGGGUGCUAAGGUCCGUCCCCGAGAGGAGAAGAAUCCAGACCGCCGUCUAAGGUCCCGAAAUUCUGUCUAAGUUAGUCUAACGAAGUCUGGUCCCCGUGACAGCUAGGAUGUUGGCUUGGAAGCAGCCAUUCAUUCAAAGAGUGCGUAACAGCUCACUAGUCGAGGGUCCGGGCAUGGAUAAUAAUCGGGUAUAAGUCAGAUACCGAAGGCGCGGGAUAGUAAUGUAAAUUAAAAGUAUCGGUAGGGGAGCAUUCCAUCGGCGUUGAAUGGUGAGGGUAACCGAUCCUGGAGCUUAUGGAAAAGCAAAUGUAGGUAUAAGUAACGAUAAAAAGGGUGAGAUUCCCUUUCGCCGAAAGACCGAGGUUUCCCGGGCGAUGCCAAUCAGCCCGGGGUUAGUCGGGUCCUAAGUCUCAGCCGAACGGCGAAGGCGAUGGCAGAUGCGGUUAAUAUUCCGCAACUCGCAUAUACAGUGAUGUGGAGACGGAGCAGUGACACUGCCGCGCCCUGACGGAAUAGGGCGUUUAAGUGCGUAGGCUAUGAGGAAGGCAGGCAAAUCCACCUUCCGAGCUGAACCAUGAAAGUACAGGUAAUCCUUCGGGAUAACUUGAGUGCAGGUAAUCAUACUUCCGAGAAAAUCCGCUAAACUUAAUGUAUGUGCGACCCGUACCGCAAACGGACACACGUGGUCGGGUAGAAUAUACUAAGGCGUUGAGAGAUUCAUGGUUAAGGAACUAGGCAAAUUGACCCCGUAACUUCGGGAUAAGGGGUCCUCAUAGCAAUAUGAGGCGCAGAGAAUCGGUCCAGGCAACUGUUUAACAAAAACACAGGGCUGUGCAAACUCGAAAGAUGAAGUAUACAGCCUGACACCUGCCCGGUGCCGGAAGGUUAAGAGGAGAUGUCACCAGCAAUGGGAAGCAUUGAAUUGAAGCCCCGGUAAACGGCGGCCGUAACUAUAACGGUCCUAAGGUAGCGAAAUUCCUUGUCGGGUAAGUUCCGACCUGCACGAAUGGUGUAAUGAUCUGGACGCUGUCUCAACCAUGAGCUCAGUGAAAUUGUAGUAUCGGUGAAGAUGCCGAUUACCCGCGAUGGGACGAAAAGACCCCGUGAACCUUUACUACAGCUUAGCAUUGACCUUGGUCAUCCGAUGUGUAGGAUAGGCCGGAGGCUUUGAAUCGGGUGCGCCAGCAUUCGUGGAGCCAUCCUUGAAAUACGGCCCUUUGGCUGU